rnacentral:rRNA from 1 species
GACGAACGCUGGCGGCGUGCUUAACACAUGCAAGUCGAGCGGUAAGGCCCUUUCGGGGGUACACGAGCGGCGAACGGGUGAGUAACACGUGGGUGACCUGCCCUCAGCUCUGGGAUAAGCCUGGGAAACCGGGUCUAAUACCGGAUAUGACUCCAUGACGCAUGUUGUGGGGUGGAAAGCCUUGUGCGGCUGAGGAUGGGCCCGCGGCCGUAUCAGCUUGUUGGUGGGGUGAUGGCCUACCAAGGCGACGACGGGUAGCCGGCCUGAGAGGGCGACCGGCCACACUGGGACUGAGACACGGCCCAGACUCCUACGGGAGGCAGCAGUGGGGAAUCUUGCGCAAUGGGCGAAAGCCUGACGCAGCGACGCCGCGUGAGGGAUGACGGCCUCGGU